GCUGGUGUGGCUCAGUGGAUAGAGCAUCAGCCUGCAGACUGAAGGGUACCGGGUUCGAUUCCCGGUCAGGGCA
rnacentral:tRNA from 1 species